rnacentral:pre_miRNA from 1 species
GUAUCACCGUGAGUUCCCUUCAAGCACUUCACGAGGCAAUAUUCCAAUGCACAUUGUGAAGUGUUUGGGGGAACUCUCGAUGUCAU